rnacentral:sRNA from 26 species
UUUUAGCCCCGAUAAUAGUGGAAAUCCUUUUUGUUUUUUUCUUUAAAAAACAAAAAGAUUGUAACGGAUAGCGGGAAUAGCU